AGUCGAGCGAGGCUUGUAGCAAUACAAGCUUAGCGGCGGACGGGUGAAUAACGCGUGGGCAAUCUGCCCUCUAGUCUGGGAUAACAGUUCGAAAGGACUGCUAACACCGGAUAUGCUCACAACCCGGCAUCGGGAUGUGAGGAAAGUUUACGCUAGAGGAUGAGCCCGCGUCCCAUUAGCUAGUUGGUGAGGUAACGGCCCACCAAGGCGACGAUGGGUAGCCGACCUGAGAGGGUGACCGGCCACACUGGGACUGAGACACGGCCCAGACUCCUACGGGAGGCAGCAGUGGGGAAUUUUCGGCAAUGGGCGCAAGCCUGACCGAGCAACGCCGCGUGAGGGAUGAAGGUCUUCGGAUCGUAAACCUUUGUCUUCAGGGACGAUACAAGACGGUACCUGAGGAGGAAGCCACGGCUAACUACGUGCCAGCAGCCGCGGUAAUACGUAGGUGGCAAGCGUUGUCCGGAAUUACUGGGCGUAAAGGGCGUGUAGGCGGCUUUUUAAGUCAGACGUGAAAUCCCUGGGCUUAACCCAGGAACUGCGUUUGAAACUGGAUGGCUUGAGGACCGGAGAGGGCAGUGGAAUUCCCAGUGUAGCGGUGAAAUGCGUAGAUAUUGGGAGGAACACCAGUGGCGAAGGCGACUGCCUGGACGGCACCUGACGCUGAGGCGCGAAAGCUAGGGGAGCAAACGGGAUUAGAUACCCCGGUAGUCCUAGCCGUAAACGAUGGAUACUAGGUGUGGGAGGUAUCGACACCUUCCGUGCCGCAGUUAACACAAUA
rnacentral:rRNA from 1 species